CACGUAGGGGGCAAGCGUUGUCCGGAUUUAUUGGGCGUAAAGAGCUCGUAGGCGGUUCGGUAAGUCGGGUGUGAAACCUCCAGGCUCAACCUGGAGACGCCACCCGAUACUGCUGUGACUAGAGUCCGGUAGGGGAGCGUGGAAUUCCCGGUGUAGCGGUGAAAUGCGCAGAGAUCGGGAGGAACACCCGUAGCGAAGGCGGCGAUCUGGGUCGAUACUGACGCUGAGGUGCGAAAGCGUGGGGAGCAAACAGG
rnacentral:rRNA from 1 species